CCUACGGGAGGCAGCAGUGAGGAAUAUUGGUCAAUGGGCUUACGCCUGAACCAGCCAAGUCGCGUGAGGGAAGACUGCCCUAUGGGUUGUAAACCUCUUUUGUCAGGGAGCAACGCCGGCUACGUGUAGCCGGACUGAGAGUACCUGAAGAAAAAGCAUCGGCUAACUCCGUGCCAGCAGCCGCGGUAAUACGGAGGAUGCGAGCGUUAUCCGGAUUUAUUGGGGUUAAAGGGUGCGUAGGCGGAAUGCCAAGUCAGCGGUAAAAUCGCGGGGCUCAACCUCGCUCCGACGUUGAAACUGGCGGUCUUGAGUGGGCGAGAAGUAUGCGGAAUGCGUGGUGUAGCGGUGAAAUGCAUAGAUAUCACGCAGAACUCCGAUUGCGAAGGCAGCAUACCGGCGCCCAACUGACGCUGAAGCACGAAAGCGUGGGUAUCGAACAGGAUUAGAUACCCCUGUAGUC
rnacentral:rRNA from 1 species